rnacentral:rRNA from 1 species
CUUUCUUUGCUGGCGACCGGCGCACGGGUGAGUAGCACGUAUCCAACCUGCCCUUUACUCGGGGAUAGCCUUUCGAAAGAAAGAUUAAUACCCGAUAGUAUAAUGAUUCCGCAUGGUUUCAUUAUUAAAGGAUUCCGGUAAAGGAUGGGGAUGCGUUCCAUUAGGUUGUUGGUGAGGUAACGGCUCACCAAGCCUUCGAUGGAUAGGGGUUCUGAGAGGAAGGUCCCCCACAUUGGAACUGAGACACGGUCCAA